AUGGCCGGCCGCCGCAGCUCCUCCUCUCGCCCUUCCAGCCCUCAGCCUGGAGAUUGGGAGAGAUGCUCCAUCCCGCACAGCGAGCUAGUGACGCUCCAUACCAAGGGAUUUCUCCCCCCGGCCUAUAUGGUCCCAGUUCGAGCCGGACUUGCCACCUAUAAUGGCGGAGAGCAGGCGGAGAGCACCCCCAAUCCCUCCAAAGGAGAGCGGGUAUGCCUUGUCCCUUACUUAAUAAGAGGGCUCGGAUUUCCAAUUCAUCUGUUUCUCCGGGGGCUCCUGGAGUUCUAUGGCCUCCAGCUGCACAACCUCACGCCUGCCUCCAUAUUGCAUAUCGCGAGCUUCGUAGCCCUUUGCGAGCUGUUUUUGGGCUGCGAGGCUCAUUUCGCGCUGUGGAAAAGGCUAUUCUGCCUUGUGCCCCGUUCUCAGAAGGGGUCAAUAUAUCAAGUGGGCGAAGUCGAAGUGUGGCACAUCGCCGGGACCGGAUAUCUAUCCGGAACCCCAAAGAAGGCGUCCGAGGACUGGCCUUCGGAAUGGUUUUAUAUAGAGGACGUCCCGCUACCGGAUCCUGUCCGGAUCGGCCUCCCUGAGUUCGACAGUGCUCCCCUAAAGAAGCGCCUAAGCUGGCAUCCACGGAGCCCUUAG
rnacentral:rRNA from 1 species